CAAGUAUUUAACAGCUGAUGCCCAGAUGACAGCAGAUACGGCCACUGGAACCAGGCCCACACAGUUCCCUCCUGAGUAUUCUUCUUUCCUCAGAUUAGAGGCUUCCUGGUGACCUCUGGGUGAAAGCAUUUGACAGCAAAGAACUCAGGGACCUUCCUCAAGAGGUUUGGACGACAUUGUGAGAGGACCACACUCCCCCUACACAAGCACGAAGAGAGCUUCCGGGUGGAGCCUGCCACCUUAUCGGUCUGCCACUCCCACUGCUACUACCUGCCGCCUAGCUGUUCCGGAGCUAUCACGUGGUCACCUGAAACUGAAACUCCAGUUUGGCGGGAAUGGGCCCCUUCCCCUUCUUCAUAACCCAGUGUCUGGGAAUAGUAAAAUUGAAC
rnacentral:lncRNA from 1 species